rnacentral:precursor_RNA from 7 species
CAGUGGAUCAGAAGCCAAAUGCUUUGCUGAAGCUGGUAAAAUGGAACCAAAUCAGCUGUUGGAUGGAUUUGGUCCCCUUCAACCAGCUGUAGCUGCGCAUUGAUCACGCCGCAUGGCCCA